CACCGAGGAGCAGCACAGACCUCCCGCAGCAUUAACACUUGCACCACAGCUUCCAUUCAACGCCGCCACUCCAGCACUCGCUAUGCACGCCAGGACGCUGCUGAUUCUCCUGUGUCUCAUCGCUAUGGCCGCCGCUGCCGCCAUCGCAGACCCUGACAAGGACAACCAAGGCCACCCUGAACAAUGGAAGUCCUUCCUUCGAAACAUGAUUGAUUUCUUUACUGGCAAAAUGUUCAUGAAUAAGACGAACCAGCCUGCACAGUGACCUAACCUGCCUCAUCUUAGCCUAUCUCACUGUAUCUUGACCCAAUGUAACGUGACCUAACUUUGGAAAUUACUCAUGCUUUGACACCUUUGGCAUUCAUUUUCUUACCAGCUUUGCAGUUUGUUAUGUAUUUUUUAGUAUUUGUUAAGUAUUUACUGACGCUGUUGCUCUGGAAUAUUAAAGCUUGU